rnacentral:rRNA from 1 species
UACGAAGGGGGGCUAGCGUUGCUCGGAAUCACUGGGCGUAAAGGGUGCGUAGGCGGGUUUUUAAGUCAGGGGUGAAAUCCUGGAGCUCAACUCCAGAACUGCCUUUGAUACUGAAGAUCUUGAGUCCGGGGGAGGUGAGUGGAACUGCGAGUGUAGAGGUGAAAUUCGUAGAUAUUCGCAAGAACACCCGUGGCUAAGGCGGCUCUCUAGUACGGUACUGACGCUGAGACGCGAAAGCGUGGGGAGCGAACAGG